GCUCCAGUGGUGCAAUCGGUUAGUCGUGCGGUACUUAUAAUGCCGAGGUUGUGAGUUCAAGCCUCACCUGGAGCA